GAGGAAACAAAUUCCGUCUUCAACACAGCACUUGCAGAGAUAGAAUUAACUCAGAAAGAGGCUGGACAACUUGGCCUGGAACCCACUGUGGGAAACUUUGGGAAACUAUCAGCUGUGGUUUGCUUUUCUGCACCACUGACUCAGCAACCCUGCAGUUGGGCACUGGAGAGACGGGGUUUCACCGUGUUGGCCAGGCUGGUCUCAAACUCCUGGCCUCAAGUGAUCUGCCUCCCUUGGCCUCCCAAAGUGCUGGGAUUACAGGUGUGAGCCACUGCGCCCGACUGAGACUCAGGCUUGUAAAACCGGUAAGACCAAGAGCAGCUAGGCAGGUCAAGGGUC
rnacentral:lncRNA from 1 species